rnacentral:rRNA from 1 species
UACGGAGGGCGCAAGCGUUGUUCGGAAUUACUGGGCGUAAAGCGCGUGUAGGCGGCCAGGUAAGUCGGAUGUGAAAUCCCGGGGCCCAACCCCGGAACUGCACCCGAUACUGCCCGGCUGGAGUCCCGGAGAGGAUGGCGGAAUUUCCGGUGUAGAGGUGAAAUUUGUAGAUAUCGGAAGGAACACCAGUGGCGAAGGCGGCCAUCUGGACGGUGACUGACGCUGAGACGCGAAAGCGUGGGGAGCAAACAGG